rnacentral:misc_RNA from 1 species
UUUCCGUAGGUGAACCUGCGGAAGGAUCAUUAGUGAAUUGAAUAUGUUAGCGGACCUCUUCGGAGUCCCUAGCAUCAAAUCAUAUCCAUAACACCUGUGAACUGUAAGCCUAUCUUGAAAACGAAAGUGAUAAGACCGCCUGCCCAUUUUAUACAAACAUUAAAGUAACAAGCGUAGUCUUAUUGUAUUCUAAUAAAACUUUCAACAACGGAUCUCUUGGCUCUC